AUGUCACAGCAUAUAUAUUAAAAUUGAAACAAUUCAGAGAAGGUGAGCUCUGGUCCCUGUGAAAAGACGAUAUGCAUAUUUGUGAAGUGCCCCAUAUAUUU
rnacentral:snRNA from 1 species